rnacentral:rRNA from 1 species
GAUGAACGCUAGCGACAGGCUUAACACAUGCAAGUCGAGGGGCAGCGGGUAGAUGAGCUUGCUCAUUUAUGCCGGCGACCGGCGCACGGGUGAGUAACACGUAUCCAACCUGCCUCAUACUCGGGGAUAGCCUUUCGAAAGAAAGAUUAAUACCCGAUGUUAUAGUCCUACCGCAUGAUGGGAUUAUUAAAGAAUUUCGGUAUGGGAUGGGGAUGCGUUCCAUUAGUUAGUUGGCGGGGUAACGGCCCACCAAGACAACGAUGGAUAGGGGUUCUGAGAGGAAGGUCCCCCACAUUGGAACUGAGACACGGUCCAA